GAUGAAGAACGCAGUGAAAUGCGAUAAGUAAUGUGAAUUGCAGAAUUCCGUGAAUCAUCGAAUCUUUGAACGCACAUUGCGCCCCUUGGUAUCCCGAGGGGCAUGCCUGUUCGAGCGUCAUUUCACCACUCAAGCCUGGCUUGGUGUUGGGCGACGUCCUCUUUGGGGACGCGCCUCGAAACGCUCGGCGGCGUGGCACCGGCUUUAAGCGUAGCAGAAUCUUUCGCUUUGGAAGUCGGGGCCCCGUCUGCCGGAAGACCUGCUCGCAAGGUUGACCUCGGAUCAGGCAGGGAUACCCGCUGAACUUAAGCAUAUCAAUAAGCGGAGGA
rnacentral:misc_RNA from 1 species